rnacentral:rRNA from 1 species
UACGUAGGGGGCAAGCGUUGUCCGGAAUCAUUGGGCGUAAAGAGCGUGUAGGCGGCCCGGUAAGUCCGCUGUGAAAGUCCAGGGCUCAACCCUGGGAUGCCGGUGGAUACUGUCGGGCUCGAGUCCGGAAGAGGAGUGUGGAAUUCCUGGUGUAGCGGUGAAAUGCGCAGAUAUCAGGAGGAACACCAAUGGCGAAGGCGGUUCUCUGGGACGGUACUGACGCUGAGACGCGAAAGCGUGGGGAGCGAACAGG